rnacentral:lncRNA from 1 species
UUUUCAUGUCGGUUUGGCUUGGUACGGGCUAAAAUGGGUGGUUUGAUCCGGUUCGGCAAACCAUAUUCCAAAUACAAAAAAAAAGAGAUUUGCAACAUCGCAAUCAAGGUGGAACUGGAAUUGGGACUCGUGCCGGUUGGCCGGCGUUAUGAGUCGGUACAGAUCUGUACCGGACCGGACCAAUGCGAACCAACCAGAGGAGAAGAAAGGAACCAUAGAGGAGAAAAAGAGAGAGAGGGGAGGGAGGGAGAGGUUGGCUAAAGGAGAUACUAACAGUGGCCACAGGCGGUCCGCGGGCACAAUCGGAGGGCCACCAAAACCUCCGCUUCAUUUGCCAAUUCUCGAUCAAGAGAGAGAUAGAAAGAUGGGGGAGGGAAAGAUAAAGAGGAAGGAGAAGCCGCCGGAGGGCCUUCGAUUGGCCGUCGGACAAUGCAAUUGCGGCCUGCAGCACCGCAGGC